UACGGAGGGUGCAAGCGUUAUCCGGAUUUACUGGGUUUAAAGGGUGUGUAGGCGGGCUAUUAAGUCAGUGGUGAAAUCUCCGAGCUUAACUUGGAAACUGCCAUUGAUACUAUUAGUCUUGAAUUUUGUUGAGGUAGGCGGAAUAAGUCAUGUAGCGGUGAAAUGCUUAGAUAUGACUUAGGACACCAAUUGCGAAGGCAGCUUGCUAAACAAACAUUGACGCUGAGGCACGAAAGCGUGGGGAUCAAACAGG
rnacentral:rRNA from 1 species